CCUACGGGAGGCAGCAGUGGGGAAUAUUGCACAAUGGGCGAAAGCCUGAUGCAGCGACGCCGCGUGAGGGAUGACGGCCUUCGGGUUGUAACCCUCUUUCAGCAGGGAAGAAGCGAAAGUGACGGUACCUGCAGAAGAAGCGCCGGCUAACUACGUGCCAGCAGCCGCGGUAAUACGUAGGGCGCAAGCGUUGUCCGGAAUUAUUGGGCGUAAAGAGCUCGUAGGCGGCUUGUCACGUCGGAUGUGAAAGCCCGGGGCUUAACCCCGGGUCUGCAUUCGAUACGGGCUAGCUAGAGUGUGGUAGGGGAGAUCGGAAUUCCUGGUGUAGCGGUGAAAUGCGCAGAUAUCAGGAGGAACACCGGUGGCGAAGGCGGAUCUCUGGGCCAUUACUGACGCUGAGGAGCGAAAGCGUGGGGAGCGAACAGGAUUAGAUACCCUGGUAGUCCACGCCGUAAACGUUGGGAACUAGGUGUUGGCGACAUUCCACGUCGUCGGUGCCGCAGCUAACGCAUUAAGUUCCCGCCUGGGGAGUACGGCCGCAAGGCUAAAACUUAAAUGAAAUUGACGG
rnacentral:rRNA from 1 species